rnacentral:rRNA from 1 species
CACGUAGUUAGCCGGCGCUUUCUCUGCAGGUACCGUCAAUCUCUCUUCUUCCCUGCUAACAGAGGUUUACAACCCGAAGGCCGUCAUCCCUCACGCGCGUCGCUGCAUCAGGCUUGCGCCCAUUGUGCAAUAUUCCCCACUGCUGCCUCCCGCAGGAGUCUGGGCCGUGUCUCAGUCCCAGUGUGGCCGGUCACCCUCUCAGGCCGGCUACCCGUCGUCGCCUUGGUGAGCCGUUACCUCACCAACAAGCUGAUAGGCCGUGAGCCCAUCUAUAACCACUACAUAACGCUUUCCACCAACACCCCAUGCGGAGAUUGGUCGUAUCCGGUAUUAGACCCAGUUUCCCAGGCUUAUCCCAGAGUUAAAGGUAGGUUACUCACGUAUUACUCACCCGUUCGCCACUAAUCCACCUAGCAAGCUAGGCUUCAUCGUUCGACUUGCAUGUGUUAAGCACGCCGCCAGCGUUCGUCCUGAGCCAGGAUCAAACUACU